GGGACUGUAGCUCAGCCUGGAAGAGCAAUCGGCUGAAGACCGGUGUGUCGCCAGUUCAAAUCUGGCCAGUCCCA
rnacentral:tRNA from 1 species